UACGGAGGAUGCAAGCGUUAUCCGGAAUGAUUGGGCGUAAGCGUCCGCAGGUGGCUAUGUAAGUCUGCUGUUAAAGAGUGAGGCUCAACCUCAUAAGAGCAGUGGAAACUACAUGGCUAGAGUGCGUUCGGGCAGAGGGAAUUCCUGGUGUAGCGGUGAAAUGCGUAGAGAUCAGGAAGAACACCGGUGGCGAAGGCGCUCUGCUAGGCCGCAACUGACACUGAGGGACGAAAGCUAGGGGAGCGAAUGGG
rnacentral:rRNA from 1 species